rnacentral:rRNA from 1 species
UGGGGAAUAUUGGUCAAUGGGCGAAAGCCUGAACCAGCAAUGCCGUGUGGGUGAUGAAGGCCUUCGGGUUGUAAAGCCCUGUCGGGAGGAAAGAAAAAGUUGUUUAACACACAACAUUGACGGUACCUCCAAAGGAAGCACCGGCUAACUCUGUGCCAGCAGCCGCGGUAAUACAGAGGGUGCAAGCGUUGUUCGGAAUUACUGGGCGUAAAGCGCGUGUAGGCGGUUUUGUAAGUCAGAUGUAAAAUCCCUUAGCUUAACUAAGGACCUGCAUUUGAUACUGCAAGGCUAGAGUAUCGGAGGGGAUGGCGGAAUUCCUGGUGUAGAGGUGAAAUUCGUAGAUAUCAGGAGGAACACCUGUGGCGAAGGCGGCCAUCUGGAAGAUUACUGACGCUGAGAC